GAUGAACGCUGGCGGCGUGCUUAACGCACGCAAGUCGAACGAAGCAUUUGCGACAGAUUUUUUCGGAAUGAAGUUGCUUAUGACUGAGUGGCGGACGGGUGAGUAACGCGUGGGUAACCUGCCUUGUACUGGGGGAUAGCAGCUGGAAACGGCUGGUAAUACCGCAUAAGCGCACAAUGUUGCAUGACAUGGUGUGAAAAACUCCGGUGGUAUAAGAUGGACCCGCGUCUGAUUAGCUAGUUGGUGAGAUAACAGCCCACCAAGGCGACGAUCAGUAGCCGACCUGAGAGGGUGACCGGCCACAUUGGGACUGAGACACGGCCCAGACUCCUACGGGAGGCAGCAGUGGGGAAUAUUGCACAAUGGAGGAAACUCUGAUGCAGCGACGCCGCGUGAGUGAAGAAGUAAUUCGUUAUGUAAAGCUCUAUCAGCAGGGAAGAUAGUGACGGUACCUGACUAAGAAGCUCCGGCUAAAUACGUG
rnacentral:rRNA from 1 species